rnacentral:rRNA from 1 species
CGCGUAGGUGGUUUGUUAGGUUGGAUGUGAAAGCCCCGGGCUCAACCUGGGAACUGCAUCCAAAACUGGCAAGCUAGAGUACGGUAGAGGGUGGUGGAAUUUCCUGUGUAGCGGUGAAAUGCGUAGAUAUAGGAAGGAACACCAGUGGCGAAGGCGACCACCUGGACUGAUACUGACACUGAGGUGCGAAAGCGUGGGGAAGCAAACA